rnacentral:lncRNA from 1 species
CGUGUCCCCGGUGGCGGCUGAGUCAGGGCGGCCGCCCCCGCCCCCCUGCCGUGCCCUUCCCUCCCCGGCAUCCGUGUGGGAGCGGCGGGGGCGGCCCGGCGCUUCCUCCUGCAUGAGGUCACACGGCGGCGGGGGAGGGAGCAGCCUCCCCGGUGCGGCCCCCGCUCCCCGCAGGGCUGAGAUUAUUGCUCAUGGCCCUUUGUCUCUGGAGCAUUUGUGGCUGUGCCUGAGUCACUGCAGUUCCAGUCCUGCUGUGCCUGCUCAGUGGAAGGCUUCAGAGGCUGUCAGCAGUGUUGAUGUUUGCGCUGCUGCCAUAGGAGACAGCCUCGUGGGGUCAGGGGAAACCCCAAAUAUGCCUGGUGAAGCCAGAGGGCAGGACAUGAAGGCGUAUUUUUUACUUCUGAUGAGUACAUAUUUCACAUGA